CGUUUGAGCAUCCAUGUAUUGAGAAAGAUUUUAUAAAUAUUUUAGUUAAUGGAAAGCUAUGCAUAUCCUUACCCACCACCGUUUCCCCCUAUGCGCCCCCCAGAGGGGGAUUACCCUGAUCAUGGGGACGGCUUUGGGGAUUACUACGGCCUGGGGCCGUUAAACGAAGAAAGGGAAAGACGCAGUAGAUCCACAAAUCGCGCCCGUAAGCGCCGUAGCGACAAGCGUUCACGCUCCAGAAGCGCUAGCGCUACGAAAACACGCUCCAAGUCGCGUUCUCGUAGCCGUAGCAGGAGUCGUAGCCGCAGCCGUAGCCACACGCGCAGUCGUAGCCGGUCGGGCACCCGUCGUAGGGACUCGAGUUUCAAGGAGCCUGGGUUUUUGGACGCCUUUCGGGUACUGUAUUUGACGCCCAGCAAACACAAAAAGAGCACGACGAAAUACCUGGCUACGAAGAAGCGCCAGGACCGGAUUCAGGAGCUUUUGAAGAGUGACGGACUAGGGUCCAAAAGGUGGCUGUUCUAUCCUCGCCAGAACUCGACAGUGGCGAGGAGUGAACCAGGAGAGGUGGCAGGGUCGCGGGACAACUGCGACCAAAGGGUAAAAAUUGACGGGGAGUUCUUCAGGAAGUACAAAAGACGCAGCAAGGUGGACAGUGAUGCUCCUAUAGCCAAGCUGAAGAGGUGGGAGCUGAUAUUUUAUAAGAAGCUAGGUUUUAUACAAGCGGUUUGAUUUUUAGUUGAAUAUAGUGGUUUUGAUUAUGUGAA